rnacentral:rRNA from 1 species
AAGACCUUGCGCUUUUGGAGCGGCCGAUGUCUGAUUAGCUUGUUGGUAAGGUAAAAGCUUACCAAGGCUUCGAUCAGUAGCUGGUCUGAGAGGACGACCAGCCGCACUGGGACUGAGACACGGCCCAGACUCCUACGGGAGGCAGCAGUGGGGAAUUUUGGACAAUGGGGGCAACCCUGAUCCAGCCAUGCCGCGUGAGUGAAGAAGGCCUUCGGGUUGUAAAGCUCUUUCAGCCGGAACGAAACGGUUACGGUUAAUACCCGUGACUACUGACGGUACCGGAAGAAGAAGCACCGGCUAACUACGUGCCAGCAGCCGCGGUAAUACGUAGGGUGCAAGCGUUAAUCGGAAUUACUGGGCGUAAAGCGUGCGCAGGUGGUUUUGUAAGUCAGAUGUGAAAUCCCCGGGCUUAACCUGGGAACU